ensembl:snRNA U6 U6 spliceosomal RNA
GGGCUCGCUUCGGCAGCACAUAUACUGAAAUUGGAACAAUACACAGAAGAUGAGCCUGGCCCCUGCGCGAGGACGACACACCAAUUCGUGGAGCAUUCCAUAUUUAA